GACGUAGGGCGCGAGCGUUGUCCGGAUUUAUUGGGCGUAAAGAGCUCGUAGGCGGCUUGUCGCGUCGACUGUGAAAACCCGCGGCUCAACCGCGGGCCUGCAGCCGAUACGGGCAGGCUAGAGUUCGGUAGGGGAGACUGGAAUUCCUGGUGUAGCGGUGAAAUGCGCAGAUAUCAGGAGGAACACCGAUGGCGAAGGCAGG
rnacentral:rRNA from 1 species